UAACACGUAGGGUGCGAGCGUUGUCCGGAAUUAUUGGGCGUAAAGAGCUCGUAGGCGGUGUGUCGCGUCGGCCGUGAAAACCUGUGGCUUAACUGUGGGCUUGCGGUCGAUACGGGCAUCACUGGAGUUCGGCAGGGGAGACUGGAAUUCCUGGUGUAGCGGUGAAAUGCGCAGAUAUCAGGAGGAACACCGGUGGCGAAGGCGGGUCUCUGGGCCGAUACUGACGCUGAGGAGCGAAAGCGUGGGGAGCGAACAGG
rnacentral:rRNA from 1 species